GAUCAUUAACGAGUUAGGGUCUUCUCAGGCCCGACCUCCCAACCCUUUGUUUACCCGACCCAUGUUGCUUCGGCGGGCCCGCCGUUUCGACGGCCGCCGGAGGACCGCCUAUUCAGGUCCUCUGGCCCGCGCCCGCCGGUAGCCAAUUCUACCAAACUCUUGAAUCAAAUCGUGUCCAAUGUCUGAGUAUAUUACAAAAUAAAAGCAAAACUUUCAACAACGGAUCUCUUGGUUCUGGCAUCGAUGAAGAACGCAGCGAAAUGCGAUAAGUAAUGCGAAUUGCAGAAUUCCAGUGAGUCAUCGAAUCUUUGAACGCACAUUGCGCCCUUUGGUAUUCCGAAGGGCAUGCCUGUUCGAGCGUCAUUAUCACCCCUCAAGCCCCCCGGCUUGGUGUUGGACGGUCUGGUCGAGCGUUUCCGCGCGACCCCUCCCAAAGACAAUGACGGCGGCCUGGUUGGACCCCCGGUACACGGAGCUUCUUCACUGAGCACGUAUCGGUUUCAAGGUGUCCCCGGGACCCGGUCGACCUCUCUUGCUCCCCUGCGGGAGUGGGAGAGAACCCCCCUUUUUAUA
rnacentral:misc_RNA from 1 species